rnacentral:rRNA from 1 species
CAUGCAAGUCGAACGAGAGAGAAGGAGCUUGCUUCUUCGAUCGAGUGGCGAACGGGUGAGUAACGCGUGAGGAACCUGCCUCAAAGAGGGGGACAACAGUUGGAAACGACUGCUAAUACCGCAUAAGCCCACGGGUCGGCAUCGACCUGAGGGAAAAGGAGCAAUCCGCUUUGAGAUGGCCUCGCGUCCGAUUAGCUAGUUGGUGAGGUAACGGCCCACCAAGGCGACGAUCGGUAGCCGGACUGAGAGGUUGAACGGCCACAUUGGGACUGAGACACGGCCCAGACUCCUACGGGAGGCAGCAGUGGGGAAUAUUGCACAAUGGGGGAAACCCUGAUGCAGCGACGCCGCGUGGAGGAAGAAGGUCUUCGGAUUGUAAACUCCUGUUGUUGAGGAAGAUAAUGACGGUACUCAACAAGGAAGUGACGGCUAACUACGUGCCAGCAGCCGCGGUAAAACGUAGGUCACAAGCGUUGUCCGGAAUUACUGGGUGUAAAGGGAGCGCAGGCGGGAAGACAAGUUGGAAGUGAAAUCUAUGGGCUUAACCCAUAAACUGCUUUCAAAACUGUUUUUCUUGAGUAGUGCAGAGGUAGGCGGAAUUCCCGGUGUAGCGGUGGAAUGCGUAGAUAUCGGGAGGGACACCAGUGGCGAAGGCGGCCUACUGGGCACCAACUGACGCUGAGGCUCGAAAGUGUGGGUAGCAAACAGGAUUAGAUACCCUGGUAGUCCACACCGUAAACGAUGAUUACUAGGUGUUGGAGGAUUGACCCCUUCAGUGCCGCAGUUAACACAAUAAGUAAUCCACCUGGGGAGUACGACCGCAAGG